UUCUCUUUAGCAACGCUUGGGGACCCGGCGGCCGCUCAGAUCUCCAGGUGUCCCGAGGCCUCGCUGACGCCGGAGAGGGUGCCCCUGCUUUUUUCCGUUUGUUGGCCGUUGCUACUAAGACCUGCUUUUUCUACUGAGACGAAGUGCCUGUUUACUUAAAGUGCCUGUUUUUUUGUUGCCUAUUAUUGGUUCUACCGAGACUCAAUGGGUUCUCCUUAGAUUGCCGAUUGGCUGAUGGCCCCGUCAAUCUCCAGGGGAAAGAAAUAGUUUUCAGACACCUGGGGAAAGUAUUACUUCUAGCCCCUUGCUGAAAUGAAGGGUUCUGGAGAAAAACCAAGAGAUUAGGUGAAGCAGAAGCCUGAGAACCGUGUUUGGGGACCACCACGGAAAAGCAUUGUAUGAAAUAAUGACACUCUGACUUCCCUCCUUUGGCUGCUCUGCUCUGCUCUGCUCUGCUCUCGGCAACCCUUGCAUCCACAGAGCCACUGAACGGCAAGCAAUGAUUCUAGCCCAACGUUUGUAAACUUGAGGUUCACAGGCUGUAUGUGGCCAACAGAGAUAAAAAUGGAAGAAGAGCGCAUUUCCCAACACUUCCAAUAACCCAGUGCUAUGGACUGAAUUGUGCACCCCUCAAACUCCUAGUGUGAUGUUCACAGGAAACAUCCUGACCAGGCCCACCUGUGAAUGACUGCAGGAAGGAAGAAAUUAACACAUCCCCUCUGGAAGCUGACCAGAAGCAGGAAAUGUUUGACUUUACUCCCUCCCCUUUUAGUGUAAAACAAGCCUGAAUUCUAAUUAUGGCAAGAUGGUUCUUUGGGACAUGAGUCUACCAUCUUCUUAGUCUACCAGUUUUCCAAAUAAUGUUGCUAUUCUUUGCCCAAACAUCUCGUCUCUCAACUGACUGGUCUGUCAUGUGGUGAGCAGUAUGAGCUUGGACUCGGUAAGAUUUGGGCAAGUCAAUCUUUUGAUAUCGUUUAGGCAGCACCCCAGUUCUUUGGGAAAUUGAAAGCAGCUGUCUUUGUCUUGCAAGUAUUUGCAAGAUCAGAAAUAUAAACACAGCCCAAAAUGGCCUGAGACUGAGCCUAGUUAACUCAAUCAGGUAGAACCUGAAAUCUAAAGGGAGAAAAAAAAGAGGGAAAGAAGCCUUUUUAAAAGUAAAAACUGCUGGCACCCAGACAUAUUGUAAUUAUUCCAUUUAUAUGAAAUAUCCAGAAUAGGCAUAUCCAUAGAAAGCUCAUUAGCGGUUGCCAGGGACUGAGUGGGAAAUAGAAAGCAAUUGCUAAUGGAUACAGAGUUUCUUCUUGCGGUGAUAGAACUAGUGGUGAUGAUUGUACACCUCUGUGAAAAAACCACUGAAAAGGGUGAAUUUUAUGGCAUGUGAGUUAUAUCUCAAUAAAAAUUACAGCAUUCAUGAGAAAAAAAGAUGUUGUGUAU